UGUGACCUUAGAUAAAUAAAUAUAAGAAAAAUAAUUGUCAACCAGCCUCAUAAUUGUUUGGUUAAAUAUGCUGCUUAAAAUAUCAAAACCACUAUAAUGUAUUAUUGGAUGUGGAGAGGAGGAAUUUCUGACUAUAGUCCCCUUAUCAAAAAAAAGAUCCAAGAUCCUCACUAGUGAAGCAGCUAUUAGAGCUGGUGGGAAUUAUGUGGCUGAUAUCACAUCUGUUUCUUCUUCUCCAGCCAAAUUACUGCCAGCCUAUUUGCAGCUGGGUUGACUGUGGGAAGCCCUUAAUACAAGUGCAGAGUCAGGUUUCAUCUCAUUCUUUUGAGGUGUAGUGAGCUGCAUCACUCCUUUCCUUGUACAUUUGUUAUACUGCCAGUCAUGGGGAGAUCCAGGAUUUUGUAAAGGGGUGUAUGGGAGCAGUGACAGGCACUGCAGGGAUCCCUGCACCUUUGUUUCCAACCUUCUGACUUGGCAGCUGGGGCAGUCCAUUAAUCAGCCAGGCUUAAAUCAGAAACAGCAGAUGGAUUCCCUUCCCCAUGUGUACCUGGGAAACUGAACAAGGAGGAAGAACUUGCCUGACACUGCCUCCAUCCCUGGCUGAAUCAGGCUCCCCACCU